GCCUUCUUUCAAGACAUGAAGAAUAUGGAAAUUUAUAUUGUAUAACAACACUGUAAAAAUCGAUAUCAAAUUGUUUACCAUCGGAGAGGGAAAGGAGUGAGAGAAUAUGGAUUGUGAAAGGUCAGAAAAUAAUUUUAAAAACUGUUUCUACAUUUAAUUGAAAAAAAAAAAGGAUUAGACACACACAAAAAAAGCCCGCCUAAGAUAGUCCGUGAGAGGAAAGGAGGAGGUGGGAGGAUAUGAAUUCUUCACAUUUUUUAAGAAUAUUUUUCCAUGGUUCCAUGAUUCAUGAUCCCCCACUUUUCCCCUCCCCUUUCCCAGAGCUGACAAGCAAUUCCACUGGGUUAUACAUAUAUUAUUGUUCAAAACCUAUUUCCAUGUCAUUCAUAUUUGGAACAGUGAUCUUUUAACAUCAAAACCCUAAUCAUAUCCCCAUCAAACCACAUAAUUAAUUAUAUGUUUUUCCUUUGCCUUUCUGUUCCCACAGUUCUUUCUCUGGAUGUGGAUAGCGUUCUUUCUCAUAAGUUCCUCUGAAUUGUCCUGGGUCAUUGCAUUGCUGCUAGUAGAGAAGUCUAUUACAUUCGAUUGUGCCAUAGUCUCUGUGUAUGAUGUUCUCCUGGUUUUGCUCUUUUCACUCUGCCUCAGUUCUUGGAGGUCUUUCCAUGAACUCUUCACAUUGAAGAAACUUGAUCCUCCACCUUGCUACUGCAAGUCAGAUGGAAAGGCCUAUGGUGAGCUGAUAAAUGUUUUAACAACUGGCUUGACAGAAAAAAGAAAAUGGGUGCACAACUUACUUUUAAGUUUAAUGUACAUUAGUAUCAUCUUCUCCAUCACUUUCUUAAUUAGCCAACAAACAAAACAACAAAUCAAGCCCUGAUUUGUAGCAUUCGCCAAUUUCGAAGGCAUAAAUGCUCACACAGAAAGUUUAAUAAUUAGCUCUUGUGAGCUGAAUGAGCUGGCUCCAGCACACUCCUGGAAAGGCCCCAUAAUUCUUAAGGGGGAAUGGCCAAGCAGAUGGUAAUGCAUCUUCAUGAAUGCUAUUUCCACAG
rnacentral:lncRNA from 1 species